rnacentral:rRNA from 1 species
AUUGAACGCUGGCGGCAGGCCUAACACAUGCAAGUCGAACGGUAACAGGAAACAGCUUGCUGUUUCGCUGACGAGUGGCGGACGGGUGAGUAAUGUCUGGGAAACUGCCUGAUGGAGGGGGAUAACUACUGGAAACGGUAGCUAAUACCGCAUAACGUCGCAAGACCAAAGAGGGGGACCUUCGGGCCUCUUGCCAUCGGAUGUGCCCAGAUGGGAUUAGCUAGUAGGUGGGGUAACGGCUCACCUAGGCGACGAUCCCUAGCUGGUCUGAGAGGAUGACCAGCCACACUGGAACUGAGACACGGUCCAGACUCCUACGGGAGGCAGCAGUGGGGAAUAUUGCACAAUGGGCGCAAGCCUGAUGCAGCCAUGCCGCGUGUAUGAAGAAGGCCUUCGGGUUGUAAAGUACUUUCAGCGGGGAUGAAGGGAGUAAAGUUAAUACCUUCGCUCAUUGACGUUACCCGCAGAAGAAGCACCGGCUAACUCCGUG